rnacentral:siRNA from 1 species
CCAAGCUCCUCGUUUAUCUCUUCC